AGCAAUCAGUAUCAUCUCGAAUUGCUUCUUCUGUUCGAUUUCGAUUUUUGUCCUCUUUCUUCAAGUUUCUCUGUUUCUUCCAGCAUCCAUCCUUCUUCAAAAAGAUUAGUUUUUUCUUUUGUUUCUUCAUAUAUCUCUCUGAGUUUGCUUCAUCUUUGUUUCCCCCCUUUCGUUUUAUAGGUUGAAGAGCAUUUUUUCCUGAAUACUGCACGAUCUUGUGCUCCUUCUUGGGAAAGCCUAGGAAUAUUCCAGUUAUUUGCUAAACUUGCCAACUAUUUGCUGAAACUGGUAGAGCAAUUGGGAGAAGAACCUACAUUUCAAGAAGUUACAGUUGAUGGUGUUGCAAGACCAUUGAGGAAAGAAUUGCAGGACGUGAGCAAAGAUUGAAGAUUUUCUUCUUUGGAUAUAAUCUUACAGAUAGUAAAAAAGGUUCUGAUAUAUUCAUCAGAGAGUUAGCAAAAAGGAAGCUCAUGAGAUCAUGACCGGCUAAAGAACAACUUCAGUUUUUUUGAAACACGAGAUACGAGAUAUAUACAGUCAAUUUUACUAUCAAGAAGAGAUCUUUUGUGGCACAGAAGAAGUUAAAAAGAAGAGAUAUUCUGGCAGAUAUGAAAUAUGUUCCUAAAUUUCUAUGGAGUCCAUUGGGUGAUGCCUGGAAGUAUGGUGCAACUUUUAAAUUGUUAGCAUGAAAAGAGAAAAGAUGCACACAAGUGUAUGGAAAACAAUUCAGAUAUGCAUUUAUGAAUUACAUUAGAUUAGAAAGGAAUAGUAGGAUUUUUGAGGAGCUAUAGAAUGUAUUCCUCAUGUAAGAUUUAGUUGCAUUCAUAAUUAGACUUGUUGGAGCAAAAUUAUUGUAUCAUUUGAUUUGAUAUUUGGAGAUAUCCUAGAACUUGUGGACUCCUGGACUACUUGCAGAGGAGUAGGAAGAGUAUAUCGUGUACACGAGGAUCUUUGGUACUGUUUAGUACAUUUUCAUGGAAGAUAAAGAACGUAUUUUUUUGCAAAUGCGCAAUGUUCUAAAUGUAGAUAUUUGAUCAGUAAUAUUUUUGAUAUCUUGUGAGGCUUUGUUCCUCAAUAAAUUUAUCAUCUUGACAGUGUUGCUCCUUUUUUCUUUUAUCCCAGUUAAAUGCUUGAAAUCUUCAGAUUGAAAGGACAUGAAUUAUUUGGCCUUCAACCUUUCUAGUAGCUUUACAGCUGUUUUUGUGGAAUUUGAAACCAAGUGAUAUAGAAAAAGGGGAUCUUUAUUAGCUUGGUUGAUGCACGUCUUAUUUUACAUAAAAUAAGUUGUGGUUUCAUGUGCAGCCAAAAAUCUAUUGGAGGUUCUUGAUUUUGUUAUCGGUAUUUCCCUUCAAAGCUUUACGAUUUCUACAUAGCCCCAGUGAUCAAGAAAGAUGCUGAGAAAAAUGAGAAUCCAAUGUGAUCAGGAAAGAAGCUGAAAAACAAGAAAUGUUUUAUGUAUUUGCAAAUCCUGGGGAUUCAUCUAAUGCGAUAAGUGUACUUACAUAAAACGUGAUUUAUGAUCGUAAUAUCUAAUUAAAAUAUUAUGACAAGCAUUAUUUGCACUAGAACCAACAAAAGAAUAUUAUAACCAAAAUUAUUGGGCCUGUGCUUUAGCACGGGUUAAUCACAUCUAGUAGUAUAUAGAAAUGGGAGUUAGAGUGUACGAACAGGGGUAUUAGAGGAAUUACGAUUGUUAGUUAUGGGCAUUUCGGUACUUUGACCUUCAACUGCAGCCCUUCGAUGUUCCUCUUUUUCUGAUGACACGUGUUAAGAAAACUGGUCUCCACUUCUCAUUCCCCAUUUAUAUUACAAAACUUACACAGCCCUGCCGUACUUCUUCUUAGUUGCUCUCCUUCUCUGGUUUUUCUCCAAUUCUUUUUACCCUUUUUUUAAAUCUAUUCCGCCUUCCUUUCUCUCAUUGGAGAUAAAAAAUCCUGGUUCUGAUUAGUAUUUACUCCAGUAAGUGUUUUAUGUGGGUAAUUUAUUAAUUUAAGGAACUUGAGAUGUUAAACUAGGGUUUGAAAAAAUUUCUGAAGAAACAAGCGAUACCUCCAAGAAAUUACGAUAGUGAUCAUUGGUGCUCAUAUUUGAGAGCUUUAUGUUGAUUAUGGGAAUUUGAUGGUCAUGUGUUGGUAGUCCCCUUCUUUGGGCUCUUUUGUUGCUUAAUUCUGGUAAUGCAUGUCAGUCUUUGUGCCUAAUUUUGAUAUGCAUAUCCUUAUUUAGCUGAAAAGGUAUUAAUUCGAUAGUAAACCUUGCAUGUUAUUAUGUUGCUGAAAUAUUAAGAAUGUGAUAGUAAACUUUGCCUGUUUAAGUAUGUUCAAAGUGACAUUUCCAUGUGAAGUCAAUGUGUUGAACCUUAACAACUGCUUUAUUUUCAUCGGUAUCUAUAAAGAAUGAAACCAUUUACUGAAAAAGGUCCACUUAGCAUAUUUUUUGAAGACGUUUUUUAUGUCAAGUUCUGAAAAGGAUAAAUAUAAUAAAAUCCUUAACCAGAACAUCAAAAGUAAAGAGUAAAGGAGUGAUUGAAAGAAAAAAAAGAGAAAAAGAGGGACAAAUAUGGAAACGUAAUAGUAGUACCUACUAAAAAAUCACCUUUAAAUAGGAAAAAUGAUGCUUUCGCAAAUUUAAAAUGAAUGUAUGGCUUAAACUGAGGAUGAGAAUUUCCGGCAGGUUUUGAUUUGGAUUUCAACCUAUGCCCUGCAACCUCCAUCGGCUUCCCCACCCUUUUGUCCCCAAUUUUCAAUGUUUAUAGCCAACAUUCUCUUCCUUAAGAAUCAGAAAAACUUAGAACCAAUUAUUUUCGGCAAAUUUUAAGGAUUACGGGAAGAACAAUUAGUGACGUUGUGUGAUAGUGACUAAAAAUAGAAAGCUAAAGAGAUGUUGUGAGAAGAAAGUGAGGACGACUUCAGGCGUCAAUGACCAACCUUCAGUAGUUUCAUGGCCAAAAGAAUCUUGGCUUCAUCAAAGUUCAAGAACCAAGUUUGCAAUUUGAUUAUCAACAACAUCAAAAGUAAAGAGAAACGCUAAGGAGCCAUUGAUUAUUCCUCACAACCAUCCUGAUGUAAGUUGCUUAUUUGUUGCUGUAGCUUCAAAUUAUACAUGAAACAUAGGUUUGUGAUUAAAGUUAACUUGAAGGCACAUUAGCUUUUUAACUCUGUGCUCAUGGUCCCUCUAUUUUUAUCAGAGAGCACAAAUAAAUUAUAUGAUUGCAUAAUAUCUUCAUUCUCUUUCCGGUUAGUAUAGGAAGAGAAUUUUUGUGCCACUCAAACUAGUGCUGACAAGAUCAAGGACUGAAAUUUGAGAAAUUCUCCAAUUUAUCGGAAGAGGAAGGUAUGUAAUGUUAUGUUCUCCAAUUGUUAAUUUCAAUACAAUAAUGGUGUUUCCACUAUUCUCUAUUGUAAUAAAAAUAAAGAUCUACAGGUUUAGUGUUUGAGAUAUUGUUAUGACUAGUAGUGUUGGAAGAAAUACUAUGGGUUACCAUUUCCCCCUCGAAAUGAGUGUUGUAACGUGUCAAUCCAAAAUAUGUUGUAAUGUCAGUAAUCAUCUAGGAUGUAGGAUCUGCUGUCCAUCUGUGUUAGGAGAUUGGCAGAAUAGUUCUUUAUCAUUGUUCCAAACCAAACUGAUUCUCUCAUGAACUUUGUGUAUAUUUCACAUUUUUUGGCCGUUGCACCUUUUGGAUUCGGAGAAGGAAAAAAAGUGGAAAGAAAGCCAAAGCAAACAGUAGAGAAGAAUCACAUCAUGUAGUAGUAAAUAUUAUAUUCUGAGAGAAGUGGAGUUCAAUACUGUAUGUUAUACUAUUUUCAAUAGUAGCACGUAUUCUAAAAAAGUGGAUAUAGCACUAUAAAUGAUGCUAUUUUUACUUUGGCGAAGUGCUUGAGCUU